AUUGGAUCAAUGAUGUUUAGAAACUGCGUUAUCUAUCUGUAAUUUCCUAAAUGGAAUUGAAGAUAAUAAUAACAUUCUGAGAUCCAGU